rnacentral:rRNA from 1 species
UACGUAGGGAGCAAGCGUUGUCCGGAAUCAUUGGGCGUAAAGCGCGCGUAGGCGGCCCGGUAAGUCCGUUGUAAAAGUCGAAGGCUCAACCUUCGAAAGCCGAUGGAUACUGCCGGGCUAGAGUUCGGAAGAGGCGAGUGGAAUUCCUGGUGUAGCGGUGGAAUGCGCAGAUAUCAGGAGGAACACCGAUGGCGAAGGCAGGUCACUGGGCCGCAACUGACGCUGAGGAGCGAAAGCAUGGGGAGCGAACAGG